rnacentral:rRNA from 1 species
UACGUAGGGUGCAAGCGUUGUCCGGAAUUAUUGGGCGUAAAGGGCUCGUAGGCGGUCCGUCACGUCGGGAGUGAAAUCCUGGGGCUUAACCCCAGAACUGCUUCCGAUACGGGCAGACUAGAGGUAGGUAGGGGAGAAUGGAAUUCCUGGUGUAGCGGUGGAAUGCGCAGAUAUCAGGAGGAACACCAGUGGCGAAGGCGGUUCUCUGGGCCUUACCUGACGCUCAUGCACGAAAGCGUGGGGAGCAAACAGG